AUUAGAGUUUGAUCCUGGCUCAGGACGAACGCUGGCGGCGUGCUUAACACAUGCAAGUUGAACGGAGGCAUAUCAUCACGACUUUUCGGAGGAGAGAUGAUGUGUUCUUAGUAGCGGACGGGUGAGUAAUGCAUGAGAACCUGUCCUUCAGAGGGGGACAACAGUUGGAAACGGCUGCUAAUACCCCAUAUGCCGAGAGGUGAAAGGAGUAAUCCGCUGAAGGAGGGGCUCAUGUCCUAUCAGUUAGUUGGUGAGGUAAAGGCUUACCAAGGCGAUGACGGGUAGCCGGCCUGAGAGGGUGACCGGCCACAUUGGAACUGAGAUACGGUCCAGACUCCUACGGGAGGCAGCAGUGGGGAAUAUUGGGCAAUGGGCGCAAGCCUGACCCAGCGACGCCGCGUGAGGGAAGAAGGCCUUUGGGUCGUAAACCUCUGUUGUAUGGGAAGAAGGAAGUGACGGUACCAUACGAGGAAGUCCCGGCUAACUACGUGCCAGCAGCCGCGGUAAUAAU
rnacentral:rRNA from 1 species